UACGGAAGGGGGCUAGCGUUGCUCGGAAUUACUGGGCGUAAAGGGAGCGUAGGCGGACAGUUUAGUCAGAGGUGAAAGCCCAGGGCUCAACCUUGGAAUUGCCUUUGAUACUGGCUGUCUUGAGUACGGGAGAGGUGUGUGGAACUCCGAGUGUAGAGGUGAAAUUCGUAGAUAUUCGCAAGAACACCAGUGGCGAAGGCGGCUCACUGGCCCGAUACUGACGCUGAGACGGCGAAAAGCGUGGGGAGCCAAACAGGG
rnacentral:rRNA from 1 species